rnacentral:sRNA from 1 species
ACAUCUCUAGAGAAUUGUAGUUUACCUUCACUUGUGUUCUGUGAUCUUUAGAAUUUAUAUUGUUAUUUGUAUGUUAGGUGAAAAUGUCUUGAUGAGUGAAUUUGGUUGUUCACGUCUAGACAUAGAUCCAAGAUUCCCUUACUUUGAUCUUGCAAGUUACAUGUAAGUCUUUAAAGAUUUUAACAUUUAUGUAGUUUACAAGUAACAA